GAGAUUCUGAAUUUCCUAGGUUCGCCUUCUUGAGUUGGCUUAAGUCAACUGUAAAUUAAUUCAAACAUGGAUAGAAGAAAACACCUCUUCGUGCCUUUCUCCAAGGCCUCAAUCAAAAGUCUAAUAAUAUACGGCAAAACGCUAAGAGCUCACCAGGGAUAAACCCUAACCAAGUCACUGCCAUUUAACUUACACUGCGUCUCUGACGUUCUGUAUGGCUGAAGAUUGCAAUCCCCACAGUAAAAGAACAGGUGCUGCACCCGACAACCCACUCACUCUUGCAGGACAAAUCUUCUUUAAUAAAUAAGGGCUCAUUUAACCUUCCCAAAUAAGUUUAGAUACUCAAAAGCCGCCAGCUCAUCAUUUCCACAUCAAUUGGGGGAUGCAGUGGCACUCACGCCUUUAACUGCCCCGGCAUUGGCCCCUCGCCGGGAGCGGAUCUUUGUACGGGUCCACUCCCCGAUUUCUGACCAGAGAACCCCUCACGAAAGCCGGAAACGUACAAGCAUCCUCCUCCCCACAGUCCGUGACUACAGGGAACGAGUUGCUGGCAAAAGGGCAGGUAGGUGGAGAGGAGAGAAGAGGGACACCUCCCACCCCCGCCCCCAUCAUCCCUUCUCCUCUCCACGGCUUCGGCCCCUGCCCGAAGCAAGGAUGCGCGACGCCGAGGACACCCGCGGAGGCAGGCGCCCCUCACCCUCAGCUCGCGCCCCCGGGCCGCGCCGGAGCGUCCCGGGGGCUUACUCCCCACUUUUCCGGGAGCCGCUGGCUGAGCCGUGGAUAGCGUAGCUGCAGCAUCCGCUGCCAGGGAGCCGCGGGCCACAGAGGGACCGGGAGACUUCCAACAGGGCAACAACUGCGCUAGGGCGCCGGCUCCUACACGAGCACAGGCCGCCCUCUACUGCCUGCAGGCCGGAGACUGCUGGGGGCGAGUCGAGCCGAACUCCCCACUCCCGGGAGCGCCAUCUCCCGGGAAUGCCAUAUUCUCGAUAGCCGGGGGAAGGACUGGCCCAUGCCAGUGCAGCCCGCGGCCCUAAGGAGCACUAGUACUGAAGCAGGCUCCUUGCUACUUUUUAGAGGUGAUCGCUGCUGCUCAGCCCCUGCAGCCCAGGUCUGGCCGUUCGGCUGCAGCUAGCGGCGUGACCACAGAAUGGCAUCGCACCCACAUGCAAUUAGCGGAGCCCUGUUUUAUCUUGUGAGAACUGUUUCUACAUCUGCCCCGACAGAAAGACCUCCCACAAGGGCCUGAGUUUGAUGCCUAGCCUCUCUCCCGACCCGCGGCUGCGACAGCCCCUUUGAAGCGGAAGUUUAUUCAAAACGGGAAAGAGAACUUUGGGGAGGAGGGGUUCCCUAGGAUGCUUCCUACCCGCACGCACUCGGGAAAUUCCUGGCGCCCGCGAUGCAGAGCAGUGGGCCGAAGAGCUAGGUCAGACCGGCCCAGACGGUGAGCUGAGCCGGAGGACCUAAGCGCGCAGCCCCGGCACACAAAGUAGUCGCGGGCCGAGGGAGGGGGUGCCACGAGGUCCAAUCAAAGACGCGAGCCAUGUGAGUGGAGUGCGAGCCGACCAAUCAGACGGCCGGAGAAUGAGCUUCCCGUUCCCAACUCUUCCCUGUAGCCUCCGGACCCAGAUCCCAAGCCUAGAGCGCGGUACCGUGGAAAGCGAGAUGGUGCCCUGAGGACAGAAAAAUUAUUUCUCUAGACUUGGGUGUUUUUAAGUGCCUUGCUUAGGUACUUAUCCCAGAACAAAUAGCAGCGGCGUUUUAGAUGCUGAGUAUGAAAAAGAUCACAGAAAAGAGAUUUACAAGGCACUGGUCUGCCAAGACUGCAAUCUGCCUAAUAACAUUCAUAAAUUU
ensembl:lncRNA